AUCCACGAAUGAUCGUACCUAAAUACAAUUUGACUUCCACUUUUAGUAUCCAACACGUAACCUUUUGUGGUUAAUUCUCAAAACCUAAACCUAACAAUUUGGUUUUCUAUAUCUAUAACAUCACUAAAAUUGCAUCACAUCACAAUCAAAAUCUACUCUGAGUUCUUUCUCCUGAAGAAUGCUUAAUUACACAAUUUGACUA
rnacentral:lncRNA from 1 species